rnacentral:ncRNA from 2 species
CAUAUCAAUAAGCGGAGGAAAAGAAACUAA